rnacentral:rRNA from 1 species
UACGUAGGGUGCAAGCGUUAAUCGGAAUCACUGGGCGUAAAGGGCGCGUAGGCGGCGCGGCAAGUCUGUGGUGAAAGCCCGAGGCUCAACUUCGGGUCGGCCAUGGAUACUGCUGCGCUCGAGCACUGUAGAGGCAGGUGGAAUUCCGGGUGUAGCGGUGGAAUGCGUAGAUAUCGUAAGGAAGACCAGUGGCGAAGGCGGGUCUCUGGACAGUUCCUGACGCUGAGGCACGAAGGUCAGGGGAGCAAACGGG